rnacentral:rRNA from 1 species
CAUGCAAGUCGAACGGAGCUAUGUUGAAAGCUUACUGGAUAUAUAGCUUAGUGGCGGACGGGUGAGUAACACGUGAGCAACCUGCCUUUCAGAGUGGAAUAACGUUUGGAAACGAACGCUAAUACCGCAUAAUGUCAGAAGACGGCAUCGUCUUUUGACCAAAGAUUUAUCGCUGAAAGAUGGGCUCGCGGCCGAUUAGGUAGUUGGUGAGAUAAUAGCCCACCAAGCCGACGAUCGGUAGCCGGACUGAGAGGUUGAACGGCCACAUUGGGACUGAGACACGGCCCAGACUCCUACGGGAGGCAGCAGUGGGGGAUAUUGCACAAUGGGGGAAACCCUGAUGCAGCGACGCCGCGUGAGGGAAGACGGCCUUCGGGUUGUAAACCUCUGUCUUCGGGGACGAAUAAAUGACGGUACCCGAGGAGGAAGCCACGGCUAACUACGUGCCAGCAGCCGCGGUAAUACGUAGGUGGCAAGCGUUGUCCGGAAUUACUGGGUGUAAAGGGAGCGUAGGCGGGGAGGCAAGUUGAAUGUCUAAACUAUCGGCUCAACUGAUAGUCGCGUUCAAAACUGCCACUCUUGAGUGCAGUAGAGGUAGGCGGAAUUCCUAGUGUAGCGGUGAAAUGCGUAGAUAUUAGGAGGAACACCAGUGGCGAAGGCGGCCUACUGGGCUGUAACUGACGCUGAGGCUCGAAAGCGUGGGUAGCAAACAGGAUUAGAUACCCUGGUAGUCCACGCCGUAAACGAUGAUUACUAGGUGUGGGGGGCUGACCCCUUCCGUGCCGGAGUUAACACAAUAAGUAAUCCACCUGGGGAGUACGGCCGCA